rnacentral:rRNA from 1 species
GACAGAGGGGGCGAGCGUUGUCCGGAGUCACUGGGCGUAAAGCGCGCGCAGGCGGCAACCUUAGAGUCGUGUCAAAGCCCCCGGCUCAACCGGGGGAGUCCAUGGCAAACUGGGUCGCUCGAGCUGCGGAGAGGCCCCUCGAAUUGCCGGUGUAGCGGUGAAAUGCGUAGAGAUCGGCAGGAAGACCAAGGGGGAAGCCAGGGGGCUGGCCGCAGGCUGACGCUGAGGCGCGACAGCGUGGGGAGCAAACCGG